UACGGAGGGUGCAAGCGUUAUCCGGAUUCACUGGGUUUAAAGGGUGCGUAGGUGGGCAGGUAAGUCAGUGGUGAAAUCUCCGGGCUUAACUCGGAAACUGCCAUUGAUACUAUCUGUCUUGACUACCGUGGAGGUCAGCGGAAUAUGUCAUGUAGCGGUGAAAUGCUUAGAUAUGACAUAGAACACCAAUUGCGAAGGCAGCUGGCUACACGAAUAUUGACACUGAUGCACGAAAGCGUGGGGAUCAAACAGG
rnacentral:rRNA from 1 species